rnacentral:rRNA from 1 species
GUUUAAUUCGAUGCAACGCGAAGAACCUUACCUACUCUUGACAUCCAGAGAAUUCGCUAGAGAUAGCUUAGUGCCUUCGGGAACUGUGAGACAGGUGCUGCAUGGCUGUCGUCAGCUCGUGUUGUGAAAUGUUGGGUUAAGUCCCGCAACGAGCGCAACCCUUAUCCUUUGUUGCCAGCGGUUAGGCCGGGAACUCAAAGGAGACUGCCAGUGAUAAACUGGAGGAAGGUGGGGAUGACGUCAAGUCAUCAUGGCCCUUACGACCAGGGCUACACACGUGCUACAAUGGCAUAUACAAAGAGAAGCGACCUCGCGAGAGCAAGCGGACCUCAUAAAGUAUGUCGUAGUCCGGAUUGUAGUCUGCAACUCGACUCCAUGAAGUCGGAAUCGCUAGUAAUCGUAGAUCAGAAUGCUACGGUGAAUACGUUCCCGGGCCUUGUACACACCGCCCGUCACACCAUGGGAGUGGGCUGCACCAGAAGUAGAUAGCUUAACCUUCGGGAGGGCGUUUACCACGGUGUGAUUCAUGACUGGGGUGAAGUCGUAACAAGGUAGCCCUAGGGGAACCUGGGGCUGGAUCACCUCCUUACCUAAAGA